rnacentral:rRNA from 1 species
AGAGUUUGAUCCUGGCUCAGAUUGAACGCUGGCGGCAUGCUUUACACAUGCAAGUCGAACGGCAGCACGGGUGCUUGCACCUGGUGGCGAGUGGCGAACGGGUGAGUAAUGCAUCGGAACGUAUCCAAUAAUGGGGGAUAACGCAUCGAAAGGUGUGCUAAUACCGCAUACGCCCUGAGGGGGAAAGCUGGGGAUCUUCGGACCUAGCGUUAAUGGAGCGGCCGAUGCCUGAUUAGCUAGUUGGUGAGGUAAAGGCUCACCAAGGCGACGAUCAGUAGCUGGUCUGAGAGGACGACCAGCCACACUGGGACUGAGACACGGCCCAGACUCCUACGGGAGGCAGCAGUGGGGAAUUUUGGACAAUGGGGGCAACCCUGAUCCAGCCAUGCCGCGUGAGUGAAGAAGGCCUUCGGGUUGUAAAGCUCUUUCGCCAAGGGAAGAAAAGGCAGGCUCUAACAUAGUCUGUUCAUGACGGUACCUUGAUAAGAAGCACCGGCUAACUACGUGCCAGCAGCCGCGGUAAUACGUAGGGUGCGAGCGUUAAUCGGAAUUACUGGGCGUAAAGCGAGCGCAGGCGGUUUUGUAAGCCAGAUGUGAAAUCCCCGGGCUCAACCUGGGAACUGCGUUUGGAACUGCAAGGCUAGAGUGUGUCAGAGGGAGGUAGAAUUCCACGUGUAGCAGUGAAAUGCGUAGAGAUGUGGAGGAAUACCGAUGGCGAAGGCAGCCUCCUGGGAUAACACUGACGCUCAUGCUCGAAAGCGUGGGGAGCAACCAGGAUUAGAUACCCUGGUAGUCCACGCCCUAAACGAUGUCUACUAGUUGUUGGUGGAGUGAAAUCCAUCAGUAACGCAGCUAACGCGUGAAGUAGACCGCCUGGGGAGUACGGUCGCAAGAUUAAAACUCAAAGGAAUUGACGG